rnacentral:lncRNA from 1 species
UUUUUUUUUUUUUAGUAACCAAGCGAAGCAAGGAACUGAACUAGUUGUUUCGUCACUAUUUUUCAUUCCCGUUAUUAUAAAGCAGUAGGUAUGGAUUUCAAGCAACAGUGCAACGAGCCACGUUAUUUGAAUGCACGAGACCUGCCAUAGUAUCGCCGACAUUGCAAGAUAAUGGGCUAGCCUGGCUAACAUAAAGCACUGAUAAAUCCGAUGGGAAGAGUCAGACAACUUAGAAGACAGGCAACGCCCAAGAGGACCAAGUAAAAGUGAAUUUGAUAGAAAACCGUUUACCGAAUUUGUGAUGAGGGAACAGCUACACCUGCAAAUACAAGUUGGGACAAUCGGACUAUUAACUACACAGAAAAGGCUUUAAAAAAAUAAAAUGCAUCAGCAACUAAGGGUCUAUUAAAAUCUUGAGAGGAAGCAGCGUGUGAUAGGUUACAAAAGAUUUUGAUUUUAUUCACAUUUAACUAUAUAUGGAGCCCUCCACUGCUGAUAUCGAAAUGAUCCCUUGUAUGAGUGCUAAAACAUGACAUUGAGGGGCUGCUUGAUCUCAGAAUUUAGGUCAUGCUAACCGUCCAGAAUCUUUAUUUUGUAUAGGAUAACUGCCCUGUCUGCAAGUCGAUGUGGUAAUCCUGUAGUCGCAUCCAGUUCGAGCUCUUGCCUUGGCCCGACUUAAAUGCCGUUGAGAAUGGGUGGGGCCAAAUGUUAACAACUGCAAGCCUUUUCUAGCAUACCAACGACAAGUGGGAGCUCUAGAAUUGAAGCCAGCAAACUUGUUCCAAAAUGAAUUCGAGGAGGCUGGGCACAAUAAUUGAAGCAGUUUGCUGGACCCUAUACUAGCCCAUGUGAUUUCCAUUAACAGUUUUUUGUUAGUCUGCUUUUGUUUUACUUGCUUACUGCAAGACCAUAACAUAAAUAUUUUUUGAUGUUUGAGUGAAAUAUAAUUUCUCCUUUUCAUAGAUUAUGAAAGACGUUAUGGUGUCGAUGUGCACAUGGCCAAGUGAGAAAGUUUCUACUGGGCUCUAUGGCAGUUAUGCCUUUACCAAGUAAAGUUAAUGUCAGAAGUGGCUAGGUAUGCAUUUAUCAGACUCGUGUAAUGCAAUUCACAGAGCAUGCUCAGACUGUAUUGUGAAUGUUUACUCUGGACUCGAGCAUGUCAAUAGUCUGAUAUCGAGGUUGGGAAACCACAAACAAUAGAUAAGGUUAGAGGAACUUGCACAAAAUUUGUAGAUUCAAAUGGCCUCUGCACAUUCUUCUACUCGUAGGGAUAUUACAGAAAUAGAACAGAAAUGUCUCCGUGACAUUCAACAGUGACGACAGUAAAAUUCAAGCUAGUUAUCCCAUACUACCAUUUAUAGUUUUUACAAAGUACAAAGAGUAAAGCAACA